ACAUGAUAAAUUUUACAGCUUUUGGCAUAUAGUUGUAGCACAAAAUAUGAUAUAAAUAUAAAUUUUAAAAAAGUAUGCAAAAGCUUUAGGACGAGACGAAAAUUACCAUAUAGUACAAUAUUCAUUCAGCAUAAUUGGUGGAAGCUAUUACAGUUGGCAUAAGUCGAACACACUUCUAUUUUAUUUCUUGAUCUUGAGAAGAUAAGACAUCAAUUUCGUGGUGGUCAAGUGCAAGAACUAGAGCAAAGUAAAUUUGGAUCGCAUCAAUUCCAUAUGUAAUUAAUUUCACUAACAUUUUCGUUUUUUCAUGGAGAUAGGCAAAGGUUUAUCUAAGAAUGGUAAAGCCCAUACAUUUGCUUUACAGUAAUGGCUAGAAGCUUUAAGUAAAUUAUGUAUGCUAUCUGUUUUGAUUUUCUCUUUGUCUGAAACACACAAUGUGUGUCGACUAGGUAUGUAAAUAUAAUGAAAAGCGACAAGACCAAACAUAUAUAAAGAAUAAAUGAAUAACAAAAUAAGAUUUCUUUCAUG